CACGUUUAUACCACUAUCAGACGCCACGGGGAAAUGAAGGGUGCUAUGUAUUCCUGCUUUCGGAAGCUUUCACGUUCAGAGAGAAAAUAAAAAACACCGAAGUUGAGUGAACUGUAGGAAUGUGCGUGCCAAGGGCACUCAGCAGGCAGCAGAACAGGAGCUCAGGCUUCCGAGGGGGUCGGGCAUGGCUUCGGCGGGAGCUGCGGAGCAGCACAGCAGGAAGCGGAACUGCUCCAAACUGGCUUCCAAAAUGGGGUGUUCUCUGUUUGGCACUGGGGAUUCAGGAACUGACCAAGAGCGCCAAGGAGGAGAUAGUCUGUGAGCACGACUGAAGCGGCCUCCUACCCUUCUCUGAAAAAUCACUAUUCAUGGGCUGAUUAGCAAGACUGGGAAACUGAUUUCUAAAACUGAAGUCUGAAAAAUUUAUUUGGGAACAAAGAAAUCCCUCCGGGGCGACAGCAAACGGAGAACCUGAGCAUGACGGUGAUGGUGAGGCUUCCUGCCUCCCCCCAGCACACGCUGCAGUGUCCUACAGAUCCCAAAUACAUUAUUAGCAGCCAUUCACCCAGCGGACAGACACCGCUGACGGAAGGAAGGGGAACUGUGACCGACGUCCGUCACACUGAACUGAUCUGGGGAUGAAGAGCUCGGAAAUCCACUAGGAAGUGAAGCUAAAUACAAAUCUGCUCCAAGGAAAGUAAGAUCUCAAAGCAUUGAAAAUGUCUGUGCUUAAGCAUAAGGACUCACAGCAGGAACUCAGAGAGUACGGAGGGAACCGCUGGAGGAAGCGGCUGUGCUCACGGCUGCUGCAAGUGUGAGGGGUCUGGCGUUUUCUACCCCAGCCCUGCACAGAACACGCAACCUUAGGCGCAGGCCUAGCUUCGUGGCAACCUUCCCACAGCCCUCUCCACACAGAAGCCGGCGUUCCAGUGUGCCUCCCUACACCACGGCUCCGCCCCUCUGCACAGCUGCCCGGCCUGUGGCCUGCCUGCAUCCCACAGGCUACUUUCUUCCUGCCAAGCAGCUGUGGACCAGGACAGCCCAGCAAGACAGCAACUUCCUCUGCUGUCCUGAGGUCUGAAGCACACUUUCUCCAGUGAGAGUGAAGAACUUGAGCCCAGUGGCUGGAAGGACAUUCAGCGGCUUUAUGAAUGAGACCAGCGCGGCGGGGCCAGCCGAGGACAGACAGGCUGUUCCACAGAGGCUGGAAUAAAGCUGCCCUGGAAGAGAACAAUGCAGAGCGAAGGGAGGAAGCAAGCCCGACAGUAAAGCACGAGGAACACAAAAGGCCCAAUCAGCCACCCGAGAAAAGAAAUCUCAAUUCACAUGUGAAGUUCCUGACAAAACCGGAACAGCAUUUAAGACCAACUUUCAACAUUCAGCCCUGGGAUGGGCAGUGUGGAGCUCUGUCCGCACUGUGGGUGGAAAUCUAUGCCUGCAGCAGACACCUUUAGGCUUUUAGCCUACCAAUGCAUCCAUGAAGUUUGGUAAUACAAAAAUGCAGAUUUUCAAGGCCAGUAAGAUAUCUAUCCAUGUGCAGAGGCUUUAAAAUUAUCACUUCAAAAUACAAGGAGGAAAAGGCACCACUCGUAUUAAGGAUGACCCUUGCAGAGAAACAAAGCCACCGGCCCACAGCAAAGAGGAACACGUCGGGUACAGCCGCAAUGGCUCCGCCUGGGUUAAUCCAAGCAAGUAAAACCAGCCUGGAAAUGGUCUAACUGUACAGAUGGCUGGCUCAAAGAGGUCCCCACUGGUCUUGAAAGAGGCACACCAACUGGGGAACCAGGAGGGGGAAAGUUGCUAAUAAAGAAGCAAAUAGGAUUUCUGUGAAUCCUUUGCAGACCGUGGUCCUAAAAGGCCCGGUGAGAGCUUCCUGAUGGUUUCAAAGAGACUAAAGAGGCUUUUAUUGCUUCUGUUGGGAAAAAAGGCCACAUUCUAUUCAAAAUGAGUAUCUUGGAGAGUUCAUUCAUUAAUGCUAAUAACUCAGAAAAUCUCGUUUUCCUAUAAAAUUCCAAACAUUUACAAAAUGACGUGACAAAGGCAGAAACGAACUUUAAGUCCACAGACUGCCUUCCAUAUUGUGAAUGGGCCUCAUGCAACCACCUGCAGCCUGAACAGGGCAAAGACUGGCUUUCCGGGCAAGAGGAAAAUCUCUAGCCUAAUGCCUUUGCAUUCAUCUGUAUCAUCAGCUCUCCUGGGUCUCAAGCUUGCCGGCCCACACUGCAGAUUUGGAUUUGCCAUUUUCCAUAACUUUAUGAGCCAAUUCCUUAUAAUAAAUCAACCAAAAACUUU